rnacentral:lncRNA from 1 species
AUCAAGUAGACUCAUACAAUAAAUUGUGACAGUUUUCAUUUUUCAAGUAAAAACUUGUACAAACAGAAAAUCUCAAGCUCUCUUUAUCAUUUCAUAACAAAUAAUGUCACCCUAAUAAGAACAUCUAUAGAACUGUAAUAUCAUAGAUAUACGAAUCUUCAAAGUGUGCUUACUGAUCCAACAUACGCAGUUACGACAAAUAUAUUUCGAAUUUAGUUCAAAGAAAAGCAAAAGAGGAAUUUCUCACUAAGCUCCGGCGAAAAGAAGCUUGUAGAGUGUACAUUCUCUGCCGUAUUGGUUAUUGUGGCGGAUAUCGUGGAUGGUAGCGGAGAUCUUCCAGUAUAGAGGGCGGCAUACAUAGAAGAGAACCACCAUUAAAGUGAUCAGGAUCACUAUACGGAACCAGAUACUCGUUGAUGUUGGAGACGCCAUUGAUGAAGAUAUGUUUGUUUUAAAACAUAUAUUUACAACCUCUACGACACUGCAUUAUGAAGAGCUCUAUACGAUUCUGAAGAUGUACACA